CAAUAGCAUAUAUUAACGUUGUUGCAGUUGAAAAGCUCGUAGUUGAACUUUUGGUAGGAGCGACCUGGCCUUGGGCGCAUGCCCUUGUUUGCCGUGUGUCGUGUCUGGCCAUCCUUUUCCGUUUCGGCGGGAAUCUUUUACUGUGAGUAAACUGGAGUGCUCAAAACAAGACGUUUGUUUGGUACAUUAAAGCAUGGAAUAAUAAGAUAGGACCUGGUUACUAUUUUGUUGGUUUGCAUAGCUAGGUAAUGAUUAACAGGGACAGUUGGGGGUAUUCGUAUUUAAUUGUCAGAGGUGAAAUUCUUGGAUUUAUGAAAGACGAACAUCUGCGAAAGCAUUUGCCAAGGAUGUUUUCAUUGA
rnacentral:rRNA from 1 species